UUAAGUUCAGCGGGUAGUCCUACCUGAUUUGAGGUCAGACGACAUGAAAUUGUCCGAAGACGAUUGGAAGCAUCCUUACACGCGAGACGCGGAACGGCGCCAGAAGUAGACUUAUCACACCGUUGUGACCGAUCUCGCGACGGAACGCUAAUGCAUUUCAAGACGAGCAGAUCCAUUUGGAAAGGACUGCAACAUCCAAA
rnacentral:misc_RNA from 1 species